AGCGAACGCUGGCGGCAGGCCUAACACAUGCAAGUCGAACGAACUCUUCGGAGUUGGUGGCGGACGGGUGAGUAACACGUGGGAACGUGCCUUUUGGUUCGGAAUAACUCAGGGAAACUUGUGCUAAUACCGAAUGUGCCCUUCGGGGGAAAGAUUUAUCGCCAUUAGAGCGGCCCGCGUCUGAUUAGCUAGUUGGUGAGGUAACGGCUCACCAAGGCGACGAUCAGUAGCUGGUCUGAGAGGAUGACCAGCCACACUGGGACUGAGACACGGCCCAGACUCCUACGGGAGGCAGCAAUGGGGAAUCUUGCGCAAUGGGCGAAAGCCUGACGCAGCCAUGCCGCGUGAAUGAUGAAGGUCUUAGGAUUGUAAAAUUCUUUCACCGGGGACGAUAAUGACGGUACCCGGAGAAGAAGCCCCGGCUAACUUCGUG
rnacentral:rRNA from 1 species